UCUACGGGAGGCAGCAGUAGGGAAUCUUCCACAAUGGGCGCAAGCCUGAUGGAGCAACACCGCGUGAGUGAAGAAGGGUUUCGGCUCGUAAAGCUCUGUUGUUAGAGAAGAACGUGCGUGAGAGCAACUGUUCAUGCAGUGACUGUAUCUGACCAGAAAGUCACGGCUAACUACGUGCCAGCAGCCGCGGUAAUA
rnacentral:rRNA from 1 species